rnacentral:rRNA from 1 species
AGAGUUUGAUUAUGGCUCAGGAUGAACGCUGGCGGCGUGCCUAACACAUGCAAGUCGAACGGAUCCAUAUUGAAACCUAGUGAUGUAUGGAUUAGUGGCGGACGGGUGAGUAACGCGUGGAUAACCUGCCGUAUACAGGGGGAUAACACUUAGAAAUAGGUGCUAAUACCGCAUAAGCGCACGAUUCCGCAUGGAACAGUGUGAAAAACUCCGGUGGUAUACGAUGGAUCCGCGUCUGAUUAGCCAGUUGGCGGGGUAACGGCCCACCAAAGCGACGAUCAGUAGCCGGCCUGAGAGGGUGAACGGCCACAUUGGGACUGAGACACGGCCCAAACUCCUACGGGAGGCAGCAGUGGGGAAUAUUGCACCAUGGGGGAAACCCUGAUGCAGCGACGCCGCGUGAGUGAAGAAGUAUUUCGGUACGUAAAGCUCUAUCAUCAGGGAAGAAAAUGACGGUACCUGACUAAAAAGCCCCGGCUAAC